GGGGGCGAUCUGGCUUCGACGGGGGUACUGAGCCGCGGGAUGCAUGCCGAGCCCCACUGACUCGCAAAUCCGGUGGAACACAACGUAACUGCGGACACGCAGCUCGCUCUCGCUGCCUAACUAGCGGCGACGUCCACCUCGUUCUUGCCUGCGAGGCGGGACUGGAUGUCAUUACAGCAGGCUGGCUCUCACUGGCGGUUCCGACGGGUGAGGGCGAGAUUUCAUCGGGGCUAGUCCGCGGCGGUUUCUCGCCGCUCUUCGACGUCGCGGGCGAACCUUAAAGAGCGGAUACGCAUGUAGAUUCCUGCGAGGACGUAUUCUCGGACGCGGGUUCGACUCCCGCCGCCUCCACCA
rnacentral:tmRNA from 1 species